UACAGAGGUGGCAAGCGUUGUUCGGAAUUACUGGGCGUAAAGAGCUCGUAGGCGGCUUGUCGCGUCGUCCGUGAAAACCCAUGGCUCAACUGUGGGCUUGCGGUCGAUACGGGCAGGCUGGAGUUCGGUAGGGGAGACUGGAAUUCCAGGUGUAGCGGUGAAAUGCGUAGAUAUCUGGAGGAACACCGGUGGCGAAGGCGGCAUCCUGGACCGGUAUUGACGCUGAGGCGCGAAAGCCAGGGGAGCAAACGGG
rnacentral:rRNA from 1 species